rnacentral:ncRNA from 1 species
AACAAUUUUCGGGGCAGGGUGAAAUUCCCUACCGGCGGUAUAGCCCGCGAGCCAUUUUGGCAUGACUUGGUGAGAUUCCAAGGCCGACAGUAAAGUCUGGAUGUGAGAAAAUUAUU